rnacentral:rRNA from 1 species
GAUGAACGCUGGCGGCGUGCCUAAUACAUGCAAGUCGAGCGAACAGACGAGGAGCUUGCUCCUCUGACGUUAGCGGCGGACGGGUGAGUAACACGUGGAUAACCUACCUAUAAGACUGGGAUAACUUCGGGAAACCGGAGCUAAUACCGGAUAAUAUAUUGAACCGCAUGGUUCAAUAGUGAAAGACGGUUUUGCUGUCACUUAUAGAUGGAUCCGCGCCGCAUUAGCUAGUUGGUAAGGUAACGGCUUACCAAGGCAACGAUGCGUAGCCGACCUGAGAGGGUGAUCGGCCACACUGGAACUGAGACACGGUCCAGACUCCUACGGGAGGCAGCAGUAGGGAAUCUUCCGCAAUGGGCGAAAGCCUGACGGAGCAACGCCGCGUGAGUGAUGAAGGUCUUCGGAUCGUAAAACCCUGUUAUUAGGGAAGAACAAAUGUGUAAGUACCUAUGCACGUCUUGACGGUACCUAAUCAGAAAGCCACGGCUAACUACGUG